rnacentral:rRNA from 1 species
GAUGAACGCUGGCGGCGUGCCUAAUACAUGCAAGUCGAGCGAACGGACGAGAAGCUUGCUUCUCUGAUGUUAGCGGCGGACGGGUGAGUAACACGUUGAUAACCUACAUAUAAGACUGGGAUAACUUCGGGAAACCGGAGCUAAUACCGGAUAAUAUUUUGAACCGCAUGGUUCAAAAGUGAAAGACGGUCUUGCUGUCACUUAUAGAUGGAUCCGCGCUGCAUUAGCUAGUUGGUAAGGUAACGGCUUACCAAGGCAACGAUGCAUAGCCGACCUGAGAGGGUGAUCGGCCACACUGGAACUGAGACACGCUCCAGACUCCUACGGGAGGCAGCAGUAGGGAAUCUUCCGCAAAGGGCGAAAGCCUGCCGGAGCAACGCCGCGUGAGUGAUGAAGGUCCUCUGAUCGUAAAACUCUGUUAUUAGGGAAGAACAUAUGUGUAAGUAACUGUGCACAUCUUGACGGUACCUAAUCAGAAAGCCACGGCUAACUACGUG